CCUACGGGAGGCAGCAGUAGGGACUAUUGCUCAAUGGGGGAAACCCUGAAGCAGCAACGCCGCGUGGAGGAUGAAGGUUUUCGGAUUGUAAACUCCUUUUGUUAGAGAAGAUAAUGACGGUAUCUAACGAAUAAGCACCGGCUAACUCCGUGCCAGCAGCCGCGGUAAUACGGAGGGUGCAAGCGUUACUCGGAAUCACUGGGCGUAAAGAGCGCGUAGGCGGGAUAGCAAGUCAGAUGUGAAAUCCUAUGGGUUAACCAUAGAACUGCAUUUGAAACUGUUAUUCUAGAGUAUGGGAGAGGUAGGUGGAAGUCUUGGUGGAGGGGUAAAAUCCGUAGAGAUCAAGAGGAAUACUCAGUGCGAAGGCGACCUGCUAGAACAUAACUGACGCUGAUGCGCGAAAGCGUGGGGAGCAAACAGGAUUAGAUACCCUAGUAGUC
rnacentral:rRNA from 1 species